GUGCUUGCUUCAGCAGCACAUAUACUAAAAUUGGAAUGACACAAAGAUUAGCAUGUCCUCUGCACAAGGAUGACAUGCAAAUUCGUGAAGCAUUCCAUAUUUAA
ensembl:snRNA U6 U6 spliceosomal RNA